AAAUCCAAUAGCGCAAAACUUUAUCAUUUGAAAAAUCAUAUUACUUCUGAAAACACUGCUGGUUCGCGGAUCAUACCAAAUUGGUUUUGCUUUCUUUGAAAAAAUUUAGUGGGCGUCACUAUUACUGCAUUUCUUCCUCAACCUCAACACAUGUAGCUACCUGGCUCUGCAUUAAGUGGCAAGCUGACGGAAAAGUCAGACUUCUAUUCCUGUGAAGUUGUGCUUUGGAGCUUAUAACUGGGAUCCACCUAUCAGUACUACAGAAUCAGUGAUGAAUGAGAGCCUGGUUGCCUGGGCUAGGCCUCUACUCAUCCAAGCUCUGGAAGAUGGAAGUUUUGAAGCUCUUGUCGAUCCAUGACUGGGCACAAAUUAUAAUAACAGUGAGAUAGCUAGCAUGGUUGCUUGUGCUGCUGCUUGUGUGCACCCUUCAUCCUGGAUCCGACCAAGAAUGAGCCAGGCAACUCUUCUUAACUUUCCUUUGCUUUAUCAUGUCCAAUAUAUCAUAAUUACACCUCCAGCCAACUAAUAACGUGGUUCUGAGCAUAAAUUGCCUUCCUAAAGAUUCAAGAAACUAUACGAAAACCAAACAAAGAAAACUUAUCGCAGAUGACUUACCACUAAGUAAUCAUUACUUGGUUGUUAUAUGGAACUAAAUGUUGCUGAGAUUCUGUUUGAUGGGUACUGAAAGAAGAAGCAAACAUACUAUGAUGCUUCCAAAAUGUUAGGAAUUUGUUUUGAAUCAAACAGAUAGUUCGUGCUUUGUAAGGCGGAAAGUCCGCUGAUGAUGAUCUCAAAGCAGGAAUAUUGAGGCCUCCACAGCAUAAUGCAUGGUUCUUCAAGAAGUUCAAGUUGCAGUACCUACCAAUACGAGGAGCAUGAAGAUUUUCAACAUGGCCAGGGGCAGGAGGUAGGAUGGCAUCAAUUGUUACACUGGAACCACCAACGAGUGUGAACCCAACCAGCUCAAGUAAUGAUGUUAGAGCUAAAUUAUUUGAUUUUAAUGACUGAUGUAAUGUCCAUUUUUUUUGUUGAUUCUUAAACUAUCAAAUUUGAGCCUCCUUUUUAGAAGACAGUCAUGCUGAUUCCAUUGCUAAACAUACAGCUUAGUAAUGCCAUGCAUAUAUUGAUUACUGUCAUACAUGUCCUUCACGAGCCUGGGCAUGAACUAUUACUGUUAUACAUGUCCUUCACGAGCCUGGGCAUGAACUACUGGGAGAACAAGGCGGUGGUUCAUGUACUGUGCAGCAAGACUCGACAGAGACAUCAAAGUGCAACUGGCAUUUCGCUAAUGAUGUGGGAAACCGCAUUGUUUUUUUGUCAAAUUACAUUAAAACAAAAGAAAAUGAAGAAGAUCAAAAUUGGCCAUCUGCCCAUGCAGCAGAUCGUAAGAAGCUUUGGUCGACAACCUCUGUGCUGCUUCAGCUUUCACUCGUUCCAUAUAAGAACUAGUAGGCCGCCCUAAAACUAGUUGCACAUACAUCUGCUAAUUCAUUUGCACGUUCUUGAACAAUAUGUUUGGUGGUACAUGGAAACUGCAAUUUGCAUAAUGCUCUGCAAAACAGUGUCCUGUUGCAUUGCGCAUUCAAUUGGUUUUGGCAUAAACAUUAAUUACAACAGAAUAAGAAGAAAAAUGGAAUGUGGGAUAUAAUUAAGAGUGCCUCAAAUACACUUUCGAGCAAUGCUUCGUUUGGUACCUGGCAUUUUCUUUGAAAGUUCAGACUCCAGAAACAUGUUGGGAACAGAAAUGAAAACCCAUUUCACCCAAAAAAUUAAACUGGAUAGUCAUGUUUUCCAUAAUUUGCAAAUGUUAAUUUACUGAAGAUCCCAGCACCAGGGAAGCCACGAAAAUUGAACCUAUCAACUUCAGUUUCUAAAGAUAUCAUCUGAGACGUAGUUAAAUCUCAAACAACUAACCAAAAAAGACUUGAUGACAUCUUCAUUUUUU